rnacentral:rRNA from 1 species
AUUGAACGCUGGCGGCAGGCCUAACACAUGCAAGUCGAGCGAGCGGCGGACGGGUGAGUAAUGUCUGGGAAACUGCCUGAUGGAGGGGGAUAACUACUGGAAACGGUAGCUAAUACCGCAUACCAUCAGCAGUGCCCAGAUGGGACUCGCUAGUAGGUGGGGUAACGGCUCACCUAGGCGACGAUCCCUAGCUGGUCUGAGAGGGUGACCAGCCACACUGGAACUGAGACACGGUCCAGACUCCUACGGGAGGCAGCAGUGGGGAAUAUUGCGCAAUGGGCGCAAGCCUGAUGCAGCCAUGCCGCGUGUGUGAAGAAGGCCUUCGGGUUGUAAAGCACUUUCAGCGGGGAUGCGUUACCCGCAGAGGAAGCACCGGCUAACUCCGUGCCAGCCGCCGCGGUAAUUC